rnacentral:lncRNA from 1 species
UCACCACCUCUGAUGGGGAGGAGUGGAGACUUCUACAAGCCACACCAGUGCAGCACCAACCUCAGGCCCCAGGGGCUGUGCUGGCCUCCAGGGAAGGGAGAGGGAGCCAGAUUUUGGAAUGAUCCAAAGCAAGUCAGUAUUUGUCUGCAAGGAAAAGAGUGAAGAGAGAGGCUCCCCAGUUUUUUAAAUUGUUUUCUUCCCCCACCUUGAAACUGGCAGCAUUUCUGAUAUGAUUGCAGGGGAUUUCCACCAACCAAGUUGAAGAAAAUUCAGUUUUAGCAUUAACUGCAGGGAGAGAGGAGGAGUUUUGCAACCUUUGUCAUUUAUGAAACACCAGCAGUGGCCCCAAAAUGAAGAUGCUUUCCUUUCUCCCAAAUCAGUCAGGCUCCCACCACCCUCCACGGGCUGGCGGCUAAUUACCACACGCGUCUUGACUCUGACCCGGGGGCAGCGGGGCACUGACCUUCCUUGACCCUCCUGGGAGCCUUGCCCUCCAGUCCUGCCCUUCCAACCGCUCGGCUGGGAAAAGUGUUUGUCCUCUGGAGAGUGGCGGAAAGAGCUCCUCUGAGGUCCCACGGAAAAACAGCAGGUCCUCCUGCCGCUUCUUCUAACCCUCCGCCUGCCUCGCCUGCCCCCCUCCGUCUCGGGCUGGAGGGGCGUCAGCCCAGGUGCCUCUGGAAGCUACACCUUGCCCUUCUUCAAAACAAGUUUAUAUCUGUAUCCAGAAGUGGAGUGUUUCCUGCCGUGUCAACACACAAAGAUGUCACAGCCAUCGGCGAUUCCGGCCCUCCAAAUGUGAAUAUCUGAGCCCCGAGGGCGCCCAGGAAGAAGGAUGAAGCUCUCAAAGACCAGCUCUAAGGAGCUGGGGGUAUUGGUGGCGGGGCGCGGGCAUGUGAAAAAACGCAGGAUUCUGGCUCCGCUAGCUGAGAUGCAUAUGAAAGGAAUGAUUUCUGCAAGCCCAGGCUCUUGCAUCUUUUCGUACACAGAAAAGUGCUAAAUUCCUUAACUUGAGAUAUCUGUUUUUUCAUAAUUAAUAAUAAUCUUUUGAUGUUCAGACUACUUGCCCCUUGUUGCAAACUUCUAUAUAAUUUCACUCCUCCGCACCACCCCCCCACCACCACUUUAUCAGUAGCAGUUCUCUCAGGGUUACUUGGGAUGCUGUCUCCCAGGCUUGCCGUCUUAAAAUUCCCACCAAAUAAAACAUAACUCUUGACUUUUAUGUUG